rnacentral:rRNA from 1 species
AUGCCGCGUGUGUGAAGAAGGCCUUCGGGUUGUAAAGCCCUUUCGACGGGGAAGAUGAUGACGGUACCCGUAGAAGAAGCCCCGGCUAACUUCGUGCCAGCAGCCGCGGUAAUACGAAGGGGGCUAGCGUUGUUCGGAAUUACUGGGCGUAAAGCGCACGUAGGCGGACUUUUAAGUCAGAUGUGAAAUCCCGAGGCUCAACCUCGGAACUGCAUUUGAAACUGGGAGUCUAGAGAUCAGGAGAGGUUAGCGGAAUACCGAGUGUAGAGGUGAAAUUCGUAGAUAUUCGGAGGAACACCAGUGGCGAAGGCGGCUCUCUGGUCUGUUACUGACGC